AUUGAACGCUGGCGGCAGGCCUAACACAUGCAAGUCGAGCGGAUGAGAGGAGCUUGCUUCUCGAUUCAGCGGCGGACGGGUGAGUAAUGCCUAGGAAUCUGCCUGGUAGUGGGGGACAACGUUUCGAAAGGAACGCUAAUACCGCAUACGUCCUACGGGAGAAAGCAGGGGACCUUCGGGCCUUGCGCUAUCAGACGAGCCUAGGUCGGAUUAGCUAGUCGGUGCGGUAAUGGCUCACCAAGGCGACGAUCCGUAACUGGUCUGAGAGGAUGAUCAGUCACACUGGAACUGAGACACGGUCCAGACUCCUACGGGAGGCAGCAGUGGGGAAUAUUGGACAAUGGGCGAAAGCCUGAUCCAGCCAUGCCGCGUGUGUGAAGAAGGUCUUCGGAUUGUAAAGCACUUUAAGUUGGGAGGAAGGGUUGUAGAUUAAUACUCUGCAAUUUUGACGUUACCGACAGAAUAAGCACCGGCUAACUCUGUGCCAGCCGCCGCCGUAAAAC
rnacentral:rRNA from 1 species